AUUGAACGCUGGCGGCAGGCCUAACACAUGCAAGUCGAGCGAGCGGCGGACGGGUGAGUAAUGCCUGGGAAUUGCCCAGUCGAGGGGGAUAACAGUUGGAAACGACUGCUAAUACCGCAUACGCUUGGAUUACCCAGGUGGGAUUAGCUAGUUGGGGGGGUAAUGGCUAACCCAGGCGACGAUCCCUAGCUGGUCUGAGAGGAUGAUCAGCCACACUGGAACGGAGACACGGUCCGGACACCUACGUGAGGCAGCAGUGGGGAAUAUUGCACAAUGGGGGAGACCCUGAGGCCGCCAUGCCGCGUUUGUGAAGAAGGCCUUCGGGUUGUAAAGCACUUUCAGCGAGGAGGCGUUACUCGCAGAAGAAGCACCGGCUAACUCCGUGCCAGCAGCCGCGGUAAUUC
rnacentral:rRNA from 1 species